UUACCUACCCUUGACAUGUAUGGAACCCUGCUGAAAGGUGGGGGUGCCCGAAAGGGAGCCAUAACACAGGUGCUGCAUGGCUGUCGUCAGCUCGUGUCGUGAGAUGUUGGGUUAAGUCCCGCAACGAGCGCAACCCUUGUCCCUAGUUGCUACGCAAGAGCACUCUAGGGAGACUGCCGGUGACAAACCGGAGGAAGGUGGGGAUGACGUCAAGUCCUCAUGGCCCUUAUGGGUAGGGCUUCACACGUCAUACAAUGGUCGGAACAGAGGGUCGCCAACCCGCGAGGGGGAGCCAAUCCCAGAAAACCGAUCGUAGUCCGGAUCGCACUCUGCAACUCGAGGGCGUGAAGUUGGAAUCGCUAGUAAUCGCGGAUCAGCAUGCCGCGGUGAAUACGUUCCC
rnacentral:rRNA from 1 species